GAUUAAGCCAUGCAUGUGUAAGUGUAAAUAUAAAAGUUUGGAACUGCGAAUGGCUCAUUAUAUCAGUUAUAGUUUAUUUGGUGAAGUGUACUACUUGGAUAACCGUAGUAAUUCUAGGGCUAAUACAUGAGAAAGUCCUCUGGUGAGGUGUGUUUAUUAGAAUGAAAACCAUAUGCUUCGGCAUGAUAGUGAGUAAUAGUAACCUAUCGUAUCGCAUGCUUAAUGUAGCGAUGAGUCUUUCAAGUUUCUGCCCUAUCAGCUUUCGAUGGUAGUAUAUGGGCCUACCAUG
rnacentral:rRNA from 1 species